AGUCGAACGAACUCUGGUAUUGAUUGGUGCUUGCAUCAUGAUUUACAUUUGAGUGAGUGGCGAACUGGUGAGUAACACGUGGGAAACCUGCCCAGAAGCGGGGGAUAACACCUGGAAACAGAUGCUAAUACCGCAUAACAACUUGGACCGCAGGGUCCGAGCUUGAAAGAUGGCUUCGGCUAUCACUUUUGGAUGGUCCCGCGGCGUAUUAGCUAGAUGGUGGGGUAACGGCUCACCAUGGCAAUGAUACGUAGCCGACCUGAGAGGGUAAUCGGCCACAUUGGGACUGAGACACGGCCCAAACUCCUACGGGAGGCAGCAGUAGGGAAUCUUCCACAAUGGACGAAAGUCUGAUGGAGCAACGCCGCGUGAGUGAAGAAGGGUUUCGGCUCGUAAAACUCUGUUGUUAAAGAAGAACAUAUCUGAGAGUAACUGUUCAGGUAUUGACGGUAUUUAACCAGAAAGCCACGGCUAACUACGUGCCAGCAGCCGCGGUAAUACGUAGGUGGCAAGCGUUGUCCGGAUUUAUUGGGCGUAAAGCGAGCGCAGGCGGUUUUUUAAGUCUGAUGUGAAAGCCUUCGGCUCAACCGAAGAAGUGCAUCGGAAACUGGGAAACUUGAGUGCAGAAGAGGACAGUGGAACUCCAUGUGUAGCGGUGAAAUGCGUAGAUAUAUGGAAGAACACCAGUGGCGAAUGCGGCUGUCUGGUCUGUAACUGACGCUGAGGCUCGAAAGUAUGGGUAGCAAACAGGAUUAGAUACCCUGGUAGUCCAUACCGUAACGAUGAAUGCUAAGUGUUGGAGGGUUUCCGCCCUUCAGUGCUGCAGCUAACGCACUAAGCAUUCCGCCUGGGGAGUACGGCCGCAAGGCUGCACUCACAGGAAUUGACGGGCGCCCGCACAGCGGUGGAGCAUGUGGUUUAAUUCG
rnacentral:rRNA from 2 species